AAAUCAUUUUUAAAUACCAUUAUUUUAAAUUUAAAAGGAUUAAAUUGGAUUACUUUUCAAACGAUGGUGCGACUAUAAAAGCAAAAGAAAGACAUCGCGCGGACUGUUGAAGAAGUGGUCAAAGCGGCGGAGUAAAUAGACAGAGAUGGCAGUUCGAACAUUGACAGGCAGUGGUAGUGAGGGAACCUUCCGCUCGUAUAAAACUGAAACCUUGGAGGCUGCCUUCAAACUUUCAGAUCAUCAGUUUCUUUCUUCAUUUUGUUCUUAGCUAAAGGAAAUGACUUGAAGAAAACAGUGUCCGCCGCAAAUGGAGGGUAUAGAUGGUGCUGAAGGAGAGGAGAUUGAGGCCCAAAGCCAGAAACAGAAAACUCAAGCUGAGAAGCAGAGACAUAAUGCGAGCUGUAGAUGGUCUCGACUAAAAAAGAAAAUGAUGCAUUUGGAACGAGACCAAGAGUUCUUAAAAUUGCAAGCUAAUCACAAAAGGACCAAAAUGGAGCUGAAGUACCAAGCUAAAAAGGGAAUCGAGUACCAUGGAAAGCUCCAAUCUUUGAAAGAUGAUAACCAAAUACUAAGGACAGACCUUCACACCAUGAAAGUAGAGUUGGAAAGGACGAGGCAAAUCUCCGUUGCAUUGAUGGCCUUCUAUGCCAUAGAUAGUUUGCGUCGCAAAAUUAUGCGGGAUGUGGUCAAGUUUCAAGAGCUUCUGGAACUGGUUUAUAGAAUGUUAUUGGAUUGGUGGGAUCAGUACCGGUUCCAACAAUCACCUUUCAACCUUCCAUGGUUGAUUUUGAUCAGAAAAUGAGCCACGCCUUGAUUACAUUGCUCAGUGUUUGUAUUAAUAGACUUGUAACAUGUUCGCAGACCAAGACAACACCAGUAUAACUGCCUUUACUGCUACUGGUCCCGCAUAUACUGGUAAUCAUGUUGGUUCCUCUGCUGCAGGAGUUCCGACUAUUACUGGCUCCUCGCCGGGUGCAAAUCCUACUUUGGUGUUUGGUUCCACAAAUAAUAAUGAGAAAGAUGGUGAUCUUUUCAGCUUUGUUAAAUUCCAUCAUCAGAAUUAGUUUGGAGAUGGUCUUCAUAAGACUCCAUAGAAGCACAACAUUAAUCCAUCUUAGGUCUCAUCUACGUGUUGUCUGAGAUUAUCCGGCCAUGUUUCCUUCUAUUGCUAGUUGCUGCGCUUUUAUGUUGAUGGUGUAUUUUGAUUGAUCUCAAGUUUGUUUAUGUUGCAAGAGAGGCUUGAUUACUCAAUUACCAAUUUAUCAAAUGUACUAUCAAGUAAUCUUCGUCUUGAU